rnacentral:lncRNA from 1 species
AUCGCGCCGCGGGCCCCCCUUCCAGGAGGGGCGGGAAGGAAAGAGGGGGCAGAGAGUCCGGGAGCCGUGGGCGCUCCAGGCUGCCCUGCGCCCGCCGAGGUCCUCCGCUGUGCUCCCUCUGCGGGCGCGUCGCGGCUCCUGUGCGUACGGGCCCCGGUCCCAUCACCCCGCCUCGGCAGCCCACUGCUUGCCUUGAGCCCCGACGUCCUGCCCACAGUCCAGAGGCGCCGGGGUCAACUGCUGCCAGCCCGCGGCUUAGCGGGGGAUAUGCUCCCUGCCCGCAGGGCCGGCGCGACGGGCAGGAGCCUCCCGCGCGCCAGUUUGCACGCAGCGCAUGUCCAGGACCACCAGCCCCUGCUCCCCUGCCCCAGGACCUGAGGAUUGAAGGAUGUGGGUCUGCUUUGCCGCUCAGACUGGCGGUCCCCACCCAGUCACCUGGAGUCGUUAGAGAAGGAAUCAGCUCCCUGGCCAGGGCCCCACCAGACCUGCACGAGCCGAUGUACGUGGGAUCCUGGGUGUGAGGCAGCCAACACCUGAUGUGUCCUGUACCUGCUCUGUGAACUCACUGUCACUUGAAGCUGGCAGCCAGCCCCCCAGGGGAGCCCUCGACAGCGAUGCCACCCACCCACCCUUCCUGGAAACGAGUUGUCUGCUUUAAUUAUUGGGCGAGAGUCAGAGGGAGGUGACCUGGUGACGGAGGGUGUUGGGCAUGAGCUCCCCUGGCCCGGCCCAGCCCUCAGCCCCCUCCAGGCUCUACAACCAGCGUGGAACUGCACUGGAAUUGUUGGCUUUCCGCUCUGCUCAGCAGUCGUGGCUCCCCAGCCUGCAGGGCCACCCCGGGCCAUGUCUCCUUCUGGGGUGCGGGCGUAGGCGUGUCCACCACCCAGAGCCGAGGUGCUGGGACAGGAGACGGCCGAGCCAAGCAGAACAGCCGUCCCUCCUGGGAACCACUGAUCGAAGCUCUGCCACCGUGGAUUUGCUUAUUCUGGACGUUCCAUGUAAACGGAAGCAUACAGUAUGUGGCUUUGUAUGCCCGGCUUCUCCCCGAGCACGGUAUUUUCAAGGCUCUUCUCUGCUGCAGGCGUAUAAAUGCUUUACUCCUUUUUAUGGCUGUGAUACACCUGUGGACACUUGAUUAAAUUCAGGCAGAAACAG